rnacentral:rRNA from 1 species
AUUGAACGCUGGCGGCAUGCCUUACACACGCAAGUCGAACGGAAGCAUGGAGAGCUUGCUCACUGAUGGCGAGUGGCGAACGGGUGAGUAAUGCAUCGGAACGUACCGUGUAAUGGGGGAUAACGUAGCGAAAGUUACGCUAAUACCGCAUACGACCUGAGGGUGAAAGCAGGGGCUCGCAAGACCUUGCGUUAUACGAGCGGCCGAUGUCAGAUUAGCUAGUUGGUGAGGUAAAGGCUCACCAAGGCGACGAUCUGUAGCGGGUCUGAGAGGAUGAUCCGCCACACUGGGACUGAGACACGGCCCAGACUCCUACGGGAGGCAGCAGUGGGGAAUUUUGGACAAUGGGGGCAACCCUGAUCCAGCCAUGCCGCGUGAGUGAAGAAGGCCUUCGGGUUGUAAAGCUCUUUCGGCCGGGAAGAAAUCGCACAGGCUAAUACUCUGUGUGGAUGACGGUACCGGCAUAAGAAGCACCGGCUAACUACGUGCCAGCAGCCGCCGUAA